rnacentral:rRNA from 1 species
AACGAACGCUGGCGGCAUGCUUUACACAUGCAAGUCGAACGGUAACAGGUUAAGCUGACGAGUGGCGAACGGGUGAGUAAUGCAUCGGAACGUGCCCGGUCGUGGGGGAUAACGCAGCGAAAGCUGCGCUAAUACCGCAUACGAUCUGAGGAUGAAAGCGGGGGACCGUAAGGCCUCGCGCGAUCGGAGCGGCCGAUGUCAGAUUAGGUAGUUGGUGGGGUAAAGGCUCACCAAGCCAACGAUCUGUAGCUGGUCUGAGAGGACGAACAGCCACACUGGGACUGAGACACGGCCCAGACCCCUACGGGAGGCAGCAGUGGGGAAUUUUGGACAAUGGGCGAAAGCCUGAUCCAGCAAUGCCGCGUGCAGGAAGAAGGCCUUCGGGUUGUAAACUGCUUUUGUACGGAGCGAAAAGGUCUCCUCUAAUACAGGGGGCUCAUGACGGUACCGUAAGAAUAAGCACCGGCUAACUACGUGCCAGCCGCCGCCGUAA